ACUGAACGCUGGCGGUAGGCCUAACACAUGCAAGUCGAACGGCAGCACAGUAAGAGCUUGCUCUUACGGGUGGCGAGUGGCGGACGGGUGAGGAAUACAUCGGAAUCUACUUUUUCUUGGGGGAUAACGCAGGGAAACUUACGCUAAUACCGCAUACGACCUACGGGUGAAAGCAGGGGACCUUCGGACCUUGCGCGAUUGAAUGAGCCGAUGUCGGAUUAGCUAGUUGGCGGGGUAAAGGCCCACCAAGGCGACGAUCCGUAGCUGGUCUGAGAGGAUGAUCAGCCACACUGGAACUGAGACACGGUCCAGACUCCUACGGGAGGCAGCAGUGGGGAAUAUUGGACAAUGGGCGAAAGCCUGAUCCAGCCAUACCGCGUGGGUGAAGAAGGCCUUCGGGUUGUAAAGCCCUUUUGUUGGGAAAGAAAAGCAGCAGGUUAAUACCCCGCUGUUCUGACGGUACCCAAAGAAUAAGCACCGGCUAACUUCGUG
rnacentral:rRNA from 1 species